CUCAGGAUGAACGCUAGCUACAGGCUUAACACAUGCAAGUCGAGGGGCAGCAUGGUCUUAGCUUGCUAAGACUGAUGGCGACCGGCGCACGGGUGAGUAACACGUAUCCAACCUGCCGUCUACUCUUGGACAGCCUUCUGAAAGGAAGAUUAAUACAAGAUGGCAUCAUGAGUCCGCAUGUUCACAUGAUUAAAGGUAUUCCGGUAGACGAUGGGGAUGCGUUCCAUUAGAUAGUAGGCGGGGUAACGGCCCACCUAGUCUUCGAUGGAUAGGGGUUCUGAGAGGAAGGUCCCCCACAUUGGAACUGAGACACGGUCCAAACUCCUACGGGAGGCAGCAGUGAGGAAUAUUGGUCAAUGGGCGAGAGCCUGAACCAGCCAAGUAGCGUGAAGGAUGACUGCCCUAUGGGUUGUAAACUUCUUUUAUAAAGGAAUAAAGUCGGGUAUGCAUACCCGUUUGCAUGUACUUUAUGAAUAAGGAUCGGCUAACUCCGUGCCAGCAGCCGCGGUAAUACGGAGGAUCCGAGCGUUAUCCGGAUUUAUUGGGUUUAAAGGGAGCGUAGAUGGAUGUUUAAGUCAGUUGUGAAAGUUUGCGGCUCAACCGUAAAAUUGCAGUUGAUACUGGAUAUCUUGAGUGCAGUUGAGGCAGGCGGAAUUCGUGGUGUAGCGGUGAAAUGCUUAGAUAUCACGAAGAACUCCGAUUGCGAAGGCAGCCUGCUAAGCUGCAACUGACAUUGAGGCUCGAAAGUGUGGGUAUCAAACAGGAUUAGAUACCCUGGUAGUCCACACGGUAAACGAUGAAUACUCGCUGUUUGCGAUAUACUGCAAGCGGCCAAGCGAAAGCGUUAAGUAUUCCACCUGGGGAGUACGCCGGCAACGGUGAAACUCAAAGGAAUUGACGGGGGCCCGCACAAGCGGAGGAACAUGUGGUUUAAUUCGAUGAUACGCGAGGAACCUUACCCGGGCUUAAAUUGCAGAUGAAUUACGGUGAAAGCCGUAAGCCGCAAGGCAUCUGUGAAGGUGCUGCAUGGUUGUCGUCAGCUCGUGCCGUGAGGUGUCGGCUUAAGUGCCAUAACGAGCGCAACCCUUGUUGUCAGUUACUAACAGGUUCCGCUGAGGACUCUGACAAGACUGCCAUCGUAAGAUGUGAGGAAGGUGGGGAUGACGUCAAAUCAGCACGGCCCUUACGUCCGGGGCUACACACGUGUUACAAUGGGGGGUACAGAGGGCCGCUACCACGCGAGUGGAUGCCAAUCCCCAAAACCUCUCUCAGUUCGGACUGGAGUCUGCAACCCGACUCCACGAAGCUGGAUUCGCUAGUAAUCGCGCAUCAGCCACGGCGCGGUGAAUACGUUCCCGGGCCUUGUACACACCGCCCGUCAAGCCAUGGGAGCCGGGGGUACCUGAAGUGCGUAACCGCGAGGAGCGCCCUAGGG
rnacentral:rRNA from 1 species